rnacentral:rRNA from 1 species
CCUACGGGUGGCAGCAGUGAGGAAUAUUGGUCAAUGGUCGGGAGACUGAACCAGCCAAGCCGCGUGAGGGAGGAAGGUACAGAGUAUCGUAAACCUCUUUUGUCAGGGAACAAAGGCGGGGACGUGUCCCCGGAUGAGUGUACCUGAAGAAAAAGCAUCGGCUAACUCCGUGCCAGCAGCCGCGGUAAUACGGAGGAUGCGAGCGUUAUCCGGAUUUAUUGGGUUUAAAGGGUGCGCAGGCGGUCUGUUAAGUCAGCGGUCAAAGCCCGGGGCUCAACCCCGGACCGCCGGUGAAACUGGCAGGCUCGAGUUGGAGAGAAGUAUGCGGAAUGCGCGGUGUAGCGGUGAAAUGCAUAGAUAUCGCGCAGAACUCCGAUUGCGAAGGCAGCAUGCCGGCUCCAAACUGACGCUGAGGCACGAAAGCGUGGGUAUCGAACAGGAUUAGAUACCCUUGUAGUC